rnacentral:rRNA from 1 species
UACGUAGGGUGCAAGCGUUGUCCGGAAUUAUUGGGCGUAAAGAGCUCGUAGGCGGCUUGUCGCGUCGGCUGUGAAAACCUGGGGCUCAACCCCGGGCCUGCAGCCGAUACGGGCAAGCUAGAAUUCGGUAGGGGAGACUGGAAUUCCUGGUGUAGCGGUGAAAUGCGCAGAUAUCAGGAGGAACACCAGUGGCGAAGGCGGGUCUCUGGACAGUUCCUGACACUGAGACACGAAGGCCAGGGGAGCAAACGGG